GACUUGUAGGCUUAGGCCCUCGUGAUUGCUGCAGCCUGGGCUGGCCUUCCUCGCUCCGUUACUGCCCUCUCUCUUUAAAUCAGCGCGUCCCCAAAGUGCCUGAUUAUAAGAAUCGUCUGCUAGGCUGACUGAAAGUAUAGAUUCACAGAGGCAGAAAUGGAGGCACAGAAAGUUUGUUACCCUGAUCACGUAGCUAGAGGUGGAAGAGGAGGGUUUGAACAAAGGUUUCCUGAAUCCAAAUCUUGGCAAUGUUUAACCUAAGGUGUUCUACAUUCUGAGAGCUAGCUGGCAUCAAAGCACGGGAUCUGAAUCAAAGAAAUUUGGAAGAAGAGAACUUUCUCAUCCGAGUGGCUGCCAACACCCCCGCCCCAGCUGAAGUGCUCCCUUGUUCUCGCCUGCUCUGCCCCAGAUUCGUGGGCCACUCUCCGAAUCGUUGGCAAUUUUCUCUGCACUGUCCUGACAACCUCCGCCAUGAAAAUUAAAAAACUAGU